GACGAACGCUGGCGGCGUGCCUAAUACAUGCCAGUCGAGCGCUGAAGGCUGGUACUUGUACCAACUGGAUGAGCAGCGAACGGGUGAGUAACGCGUGGGGAAUCUGCCUUUGAGCGGGGGACAACAUUUGGAAACGAAUGCUAAUACCGCAUAAAAACUUUAAACACAAGUUUUAAGUUUGAAAGAUGCAAUUGCAUCACUCAAAGAUGAUCCCGCGUUGUAUUAGCUAGUUGGUGAGGUAAAGGCUCACCAAGGCGAUGAUACAUAGCCGACCUGAGAGGGUGAGCGGCCACAUUGGGACGGAGACACGGCACAAACGCCUACGGGAGGCAGCAGGAGGGAAUCUUCGGCAAGGGACGAAAGUCUGACCGAGAAACGCCGAGUGAGUGAAGAAGGGUGUCGGAUCGGAAAACUCGGUUGGUAGAGAAGAACGUUGGUGAGAGUGGAAAGCUCAUCAAGUGACGGUAACUACUCAGAAAGGGACGGCUAACUACGUG
rnacentral:rRNA from 1 species